rnacentral:rRNA from 1 species
AUGAAUGACUUAAGCUGGAACUGCCGGGGAGGGGGGAAUUCCCAGACAAUUCGUGAGUUAGCGAGUAUCUCACAGUCGCAUUCCCCCACUAUGGUUUUCUUGUGUGAGACUAGACAAAAGGCAGAGAAGAUGAGGAGAAUCUGAAACCGUAUUGGACUGAAGGGUUUUUCGGGAGUUGAUAGUAAUGGUAUGAGCGCCGGAUUGGCUUUUUUCUGGCAUGAGUCAUAUGAGGUGGAAAUUCUAGAUAAGGAGGAUCGGUACAUCGACGCCCUAGUGCGUACGCAGGAGGGUGCAGACAGGUGGAGGAUUACAUGUGUAUAUGGAGACCCGCGGGUGGAAAAUAGGCAUCUCAUGUGGGAACAACUACAACGUUUGAAGAACACAAAUGAUUUGCCAUGA